rnacentral:lncRNA from 1 species
ACCUCAUAAAAGGAUGUGAAUUGUUAAAAUUCCCAUUAGCUAGCAUAAAGUAACAUUAUUGAAAUCAUUGUGUUGAAAUAUGGUGGGCUCUUCAGCCACAUUCUCACCCUUGGAAAGCAAUCAGCCAGCAGAAAAAUCUCCAAUUUAAAUGACAGCAAAAUGUAUGCUUGGAGUUAUCUGACCAAAUUAGCAACUGAGAUAUUCUAGGGACUUAAUUUGCACAUUGAGUUUUAAUAGUAUUAUAUUUGUAUAGCAGAUUAUAUAACCAAAAAUGUUAAUGGGAAAAUGAUUUUAUUUGACUGGGAAAUUGGCACCCCGACUAAUUGUCUGAAAAGAAGCCAAUUUUAAAAUUCAGAUGCUAUUUGAAUGAACUGGUAUUGGCUGAAUUAGGAUUUAUUGUGUAAAAUAUGCAGUUUUUAAAAAUAGUCUAAGGAAAGAAAAAAGGACUCAAUGAACGAAGUUUGCAUACUUCACUAUGUUCUGGGAUAGGUUUUGCAACGG